UGGGGAAUAUUGCACAAUGGGGGAAACCCUGAUGCAGCGACGCCGCGUGAACGAAGAAGGUAUUCGUAUCGUAAAGUUCUGUCCUAUGGGAAGAUAAUGACAGUACCAUAGAAGAAAGCUCCGGCUAAAUACGUGCCAGCAGCCGCGGUAAUACGUAUGGAGCGAGCGUUGUCCGGAAUUAUUGGGCGUAAAGGGCACGCAGGCGGUUUAAUAAGUCGAAUGUUAAAGAUCGGGGCUCAACCCCGCAAAGCAUUGGAAACUGAUAAACUUGAGUAGUGGAGAGGAAAGUGGAAUUCCUAGUGUAGUGGUGAAAUACGUAGAUAUUAGGAGGAAUACCAGUAGCGAAGGCGACUUUCUGGACACAAACUGACGCUGAGGUACGAAAGCGUGGGGAGCAAACAGG
rnacentral:rRNA from 1 species